rnacentral:rRNA from 1 species
GACGAACGCUGGCGGCGUGCCUAAUACAUGCAAGUCGAACGAACCGCGACUAGGUGCUUGCACUUGGUCAAGGUGAGUGGCGAACGGGUGAGUAACACGUGGGUAACCUACCUCAUAGUGGGGGAUAACAGUCGGAAACGACUGCUAAUACCGCAUAGGACAUGGGAUCACAUGAUUCUGUGAGGAAAGGUGGCGCAAGCUAUCGCUAAGAGAUGGACCCGCGGUGCAUUAGCUAGUUGGUAGGGUAACGGCCUACCAAGGCGAUGAUGCAUAGCCGACCUGAGAGGGUGAUCGGCCACAUUGGGACUGAGACACGGCCCAAACUCCUACGGGAGGCAGCAGUAGGGAAUCUUGCGCAAUGGACGCAAGUCUGACGGAGCAACGCCGCGUGAGUGAAGAAGGUCUUCGGAUCGUAAAGCUCUGUUGUUAGAGAAGAACAGCGCAUAGAGUAACUGUUAUGCGUGUGACGGUAUCUAAACAGAAAGCCACGGCUAACUACGUG